GUCAGUUUUAAUACAAAAAGUUUAUGGUCUCUGGCAGAGAACUUGGGUUUUGUUUUGUUUUUUGAAAGAACAUUUAGUAUACCAAAGUGGAGGAUACUUCCUAUUGGAAAAGUUAUGCCUGAUGCUUCCUUGUUUCCUACUCACAGGGGCCACAAAUCUUGUAAAUAAUGUUAAGUGCUUUGUUCCAGCUCUGUUCAGGAUCUUAGAACUUUAUUAGUUAACACAAAGUUGCACAAAAAUCAGGUUUAGGUGGCAAAAAAAAAAAAAAAAGAGUCAACUUACAGGCAUUUGUGAGAGCUAAGAAAAACAACAGUGAAUUGAUUUUAAGCAUCUGUAGCUACACUCUUGAAUAUUUUUAGCCCAAGGAACUCAACAAAUUUUCUGGAGCCACUAAUAAAUCCAGCCUGCUCUUCAUGCCAGGAAGUAAAGCUAACACGUAGGUGAAGGUGAGAGCAAGAAUCAGCUUUUCUAAAAAGGUAUGAUUCAGUCCAAAUAAACCCAAGUCAUUUUCAGUGGUGAAGUUUAAAACUAGGCCAGCAGAAAGCAUCUUUCGCCACCUACUGAAUAACAGAGGCACUGAUGAACAAAUGGACACAGGAAGGGUGUGUCUAUUAGUUCAUGCAGGUGUAGUCUACCACAUGUUCCAGAUAAAAACAGGCUUAUAAUAAUAAUAAUUUAUUACGGCCGUAGGCCCAUACAGAUAAAAACAAGACAUAAAUAACAGCCUGUGCACAUGGGAAAAAACAGCCGCUGAAACACUACUAUAACAAUAAACUACUAUAAGAUGGAAUGGCAUACUACGCCUUAAUUAGCUUGUGGUGCUCCUUGGCAACGUUUUUGGGUAAGGACAGCGACCAGGAACCUAGCCACUUUCAGGGUCGUAUGGGCAUCCUUAUCCUGCAAGAUUUGGGCAAGGUGGAAUUUUGGUGGAGUACCCUCUAAUUUCUGUAUGAUUGAUCCCAACAAAUUUGCCCGUGGCACCUUAAAUAAGGGGCAAGUGAACAUAAUGUGCUGAAGCGACUCCGGCAUCUCCUUAUCACAUUCGCACAUGGCGGAGGUUUGGCCCUUUGAGAAUCUAUGUCUCAGGACAUUGGAGGAAAAACAUUAAACCUCGCUUUGGUGAAGGCCAGCCUAUGGGCAACAGUCGAAAGGGAGGAGAGGUAUGAUGGAACGCAGUAAGUUAAAGUGAUACCAAUGUUCUGGGGCGAACAAACACCUCCCCAGCAUAUAAUUUUGCUGUAAAUCGAUGUCAUCCAGUCUUUGGCGGAUCAGUCUUUGAGCAGUGAUUUGAUCUAGUUUUAGGGAAUCUAAAGGAGAGAUUCCAUAGCUCAGGAGUUUGGCAUGAAUUCUACUGGUCCAAAGGCUGGAGAAUUCAUCUCGCCAUAAGCAUUGGGCAAGGUAAUGGUCUGGUAAUCUAUGCCACAAUGAUAACCAAUAAUUGAAGACUUGCUUCCACAGGCAAGUUUCUAAGGAUGCGAUCCUCAAUUCUAGACGCAUGGCUGAAAACAGGCUUAUUUUUAUAUCAUUCAAGUAGGCCCCACCAUGUCUGCAUAACAUGUUAAAAGGGUUUUUUUAUUAAAAAAAAAAGUUGGGGGAAAAUUGAGUGACAACACAAGGAAGACUGCUUGCCUUUGUAAAAAUUCCCUCUUCUAUACAACUACUUAAAAGCAAACAGGGGUGGGGGUGGGGAGCAGCCAAAAUUCACUGCACAGGCAACUGAUUUAUUUAUUUUUUUAACCUAGGCAUCUGGGCAGAAAAAGGGGAUAAGUAUGAACCUUGGAAACAAAUGUUGAAGACCAGGAUUAAAAGCUAGUCAUGCAUUUGGAAAAAAAAAGGUGAAAGAAGCAGAGAAUCCAAGGAGCUCCAGAUGUUGGACCACCAACUCCCAUCAGUCCCAGCCAGCAUGGCCAAUGGUUAGGGGACGAUGGAAACUACAGUACAACAACAUCUGGAGGGCCACUCCUCUUUAAACAGUGAAGUUUAAGCCAGAAGGAAACACUUUUUAUUCCAUCUUGUUUUACCUGGCUCACAACUGGAAUGCAGGGUGGGAUAUACCUUCAAAUAUAUGCAAGUGCUUCAUUUGUACCUGUAAGUCUGGAUCUUUACAGGCAAGGAAACAGGACCAAAUCCAAGUUUAGGUGCUGACAGAGGGAAAAAGAUUUGAGAGCUUCAGUUUAAAUAUGAGAGAGAGUCCGAUAUACACAGUAAAAGCCAGUAUUUUUACUUUAGUGAAUGCAAGAUACAAAUAUUUUACAACAACUUCUAGCAUUUUCUUAACCAUUUGAUAAAAAGUUCACUAGAAUAUUUAUUGUAUAAUGAAGAAAAAAACACCACAUUCAGGGAAAAAGAUUAACUUAAUUUUUUUUCUUAAAGAUUCGUCUCAAAGAUGGCAACAAAGUCCAGCUUGUGCCGCCAGACGGCUUUAACCGCAAACAGCUUCGUCUGUGAACUGUUGACUACAAACAUUUACCAAAUACAUAUAUUUUUUCUUAUUUUUAAAAAAGCUUUUCUUUUUAAAUAUAGCAAAGCAGUGUUUUCUUGCACAGCAAAGUGAGGAAAUUUCCCAAUAUUUUUUUUUAAAGUCUUUUCACAUUCUAAAUUUUAAACUUCUUCCCAUGGUUGAUUUGGCAGGAGUCAUUUAUGUUCCUUAUUUACUAUAUAUUUCUUGUGCGCACAGUAGACUUGUCAAUGCAUUAGUGUCCUUUAUAGUUUAAAGGCUAAAGCAUUUCCAACAUGCCUUACUUCUUUUUUUAAAAAGAGAGAUACCAGGUACGAACAAGUCAGUAUUGCUAUGUCCACCAUAUGCAACAUUUGACCCCGAUUCUAGCAAUCUGGAUUUGCACAAGAUUUAAUCCAAUUGCAACCUUCAAUUAAAAUGCCAUUGAUUCUAUUUACACUUUAUUUAUUUUUACUGUCACAAUAUUCCAUGGUUCUAAAAAUAAAAGGGGUGCGUGUCUUUGAAUAACUUCAUUGCACAAGCUGCUGUUGAAUUUGCAAAAGCUGAAUCUUAGCAAGACCUGUGGUACAGCCCUCUUAAAGAGCCAGUAGCACCUCAGAACCUGUUAAGGACAGAGGUUGAGAUUGUCACUUCUUUGAAAGCACCCGGCAUUUGAAAAGCUAACAGGCCCGGCAUGGCAGUUUCUCCCAAAUAGGGAGUGUGGCACAGGAGCUCUUCCAAGCAACAAUUCCCCUGACGCAGAAACUACACCAUGUAUUUCCCUUCGCAUCUGGAAUGGCUUCAAACAGUUGCCCUAAAAACCUUGGGCUUAAGGGGACUGAGAGAUGUAAAGCUACUUUGGGUACAGCAAAGGACCUGCAGGUGCCCAGUGUGAUUUUUCAGCAAGUUUAAAUAGCACCCUCUUCUGUCUCCCCGACCUCUGCCCUGCAAUGAUAUAGCCUAACUCCCUUCAUAUUGCAAAAAUGGUUUUCUAAGAAGCAUGAGGUACUUCUGCUCAGAAACUAGAGCUUGUUUGAGGACUCUGGCCAAAGUGGGACCCUCAAAAGCCUCUGCUGCCACAUUAGCUACAACACUUGGGGCUGUACCCCAUUGCUCUGUCUACUAGCACAAAGUUUCUGGUGCUAGCAGGUGGAAUUUGAUGCAGCAGUUGCGCUAGCAGAAACUUGUUGCGCAACAGACGUCGCAAUCUAUUGCACAACCAAAUUACUAGCAACCUGCUUACGAAUUCUCUUGUGCAACAACGUUUUACUAGUGCAAAACAUUUCACCAGUGGGGGGGGGGGGAGAAGCCUACUGCUAAGUGACUUUUAACUUUGUGCCUUGCAAUAUUAAGGUUUUUAUUCAAUGGAGCAGUGCAGUGGGCCUGGGGAAGGGGGCUCAUCAGUGUACCAGCCUAAAGGCAUUUUGGGCCGUUAUGGGGCCAGGUGCUUCAGUGCAAAAUCUAGUAUUUGGUACGAAGGAAUAGCAAAUGACAGCAUAGAAACACUGACUCUCUCCCAUGCCAAAGUACAGGACAGAGCUGCGCACACACACAAUCCUCUGCCCUGCUGCAACUAUCUUUAUCUCUAGGACCUCUGUGUAAGACUUUCAAAACAUCUAGAGUUACAUUAUUAGUGUUAAUUACAUAAAAAAAAGUCAGCAUGUUUUGUUUUCAUGAUGUAAAGCUCUUUUGCAGGAGACAAUGAAUAGGACCUGAUCCUGGAACAAGGAGAUUAGCUGAGAGUUAACAGUCUGACUCUAAGAACUGAUUAUUAUUAUUUCUUUAAGAAAGAAAGAAAGAAAAUUGGCUGGCUCGAUUCAAGUACAAAGCCCAAACUAUAUCUUUUUCUUUUUUAACGGGGGGGAAAGUUGAUGUAACUCGUUACAAACCUGCAUAGGAAUAAGAGACUAUUGGGAUACAGUCAGCAAAGCCAUCUCAUUAAGGCACACAAGAAAUCAGACAGUAAAUGUGAAAUGAAGAACUCCCAUUCAAAUGUACAGCAAAGUUCAUGUAGGUGCAUAAAUAGUGCAGGAGAAUCAUACCAAUCCGAAGCAUCAAAAGGAUCUAUGAAGUGGUGGUGUGGUUUCUGUGUUAAGUGUGAUUUUUGGGGGGGGGGGAGGGAGGAAGCUGACAGACCACUGGGACGUUUUCUGCUCUACCCUAUCCAGACAGAAGUAACAGUACCUAGUGUGCAUUAGUUCCUCAAAAUGCUUCUAAGAAAGAGAGAGCCUAGAAGCUUAUGCAUUUACAGAACCAUUAAUGAAAACUAAAUCGGAGCCAGCUAUAAAGCACAUAAUCCACCACCAGUUUGUACAGUUUUUACAUAAGGUGGGGAAGAAUUAUAGGUGAAAUGAGUUAUACAGGGCAUAGUUUUGCCCAUACCUUGCUUAUCUUUAAAAAUAAAUAACUAAGGCAGCCACUUCAGGAUAUAUUACAGAAAAAAUAAAUUGAGAGCUUCCAUUCAACUCUUGG